AUCAUUUGGCAGCAUAUAUACUAAAAUUGGAACGAUACCGAGAAGACAAGCAUGGGCCCUGUGCAAGAAUGACACGCAAAUUUGUGAAACGUUUCAUUUUUUU
ensembl:snRNA U6 U6 spliceosomal RNA